UACUCCUACGGGAGGCAGCAGCUAAGAAUAUUCCGCAAUGGACGAAAGUCUGACGGAGCGACGCCGCGUGGAUGAAGAAGGCCGAAAGGUUGUAAAGUUCUUUUGCUAGGGGAGAAUAAGUGAGGGAGGGAAUGCCCUCAUGAUGACAAGGACUAGCGAAUAAGCCCCGGCCAACUACGUGCCAGCAGCCGCGGUAACACGUAGGGGGCGAGCGUUGUUCGGAAUUACUGGGCGUAAAGGGCAUGUAGGCGGCUUGGUAAGCCUGGCGUGAAAGACUGCAGCUUAACUGUAGGGAUGCGUUGGGAACUGCUUAGCUUGAGUUACGGAGAGGGAGCUGGAAUUCCUGGUGUAGGGGUGAAAUCUGUAGAUAUCAGGAAGAACACCGAUGGCGAAGGCAAGCUUCUGGUCGAUAACUGACGCUGAGGUGCGAAAGUGUGGGGAUCAAACAGGAUUAGAUACCCUGGUAGUCA
rnacentral:rRNA from 1 species